rnacentral:misc_RNA from 1 species
UUAUAGGGAGACCUACCUGUCAAAUCCUGAAAGCGAAAGCGAAAAGGGAGAUGAUUGGUCAUCCCAAAGGUCGUUCGGAAUUAGAUGUUAGGGUUUCAAAGCUAUAUAGAGAUUGGUUCGGGGAAUAGACUGUGAGGGCUAUUAGCUCAGCUGGUUAGAGCGCACCCCUGAUAAGGGUGAGGUCCCUGGUUCGAGUCCAGGAUGGCCCACCAUUAUCUCAGCAUUAAUUAUCUCAGCAUUAUUAAAGUAAUGAACGAGAGGGGGUUUAGCUCAGUUGGUAGAGCGCCUGCUUUGCAAGCAGGAUGUCAACGGUUCGAGUCCGUUAACCUCCACUGGGUGAAUGACCCUGACGAAGAAAUUGAGAAAAGAUUUCAGCAACUGAUCUAGAGGAUAUUAAUUUAUCAAUAGCUAGAGAGCCUGCUGAGGUAGAACUCAGUAAGAACCUUGAAAACUGCAUAGAAACUUGUCAGGUAGUUGUCAUUUGGGACUUUGAUUAGCCCCCGAGUGACAGAGAUAUCAUAGACACCAAUGUAAGUUUGCGAAGAUUAAAGU